UCUGGGUGGCGAGUGGCGGACGGGUGAGGAAUACAUCGGAAUCUACCUUUUCGUGGGGGAUAACGUAGGGAAACUUACGCUAAUACCGCAUACGACCUACGGGUGAAAGUGGGGGACCGCAAGGCCUCACGCGAUUAGAUGAGCCGAUGUCCGAUUAGCUAGUUGGCGGGGUAAUGGCCCACCAAGGCGACGAUCGGUAGCUGGUCUGAGAGGAUGAUCAGCCACACUGGAACUGAGACACGGUCCAGACUCCUACGGGAGGCAGCAGUGGGGAAUAUUGGACAAUGGGCGCAAGCCUGAUCCAGCCA
rnacentral:rRNA from 1 species